rnacentral:lncRNA from 1 species
CCAAGCUCUACCCUUGAUAGUUAGGAUAUAUUAGUGAGCAGAAUUAAACACCCCUCUCUUAAAUCUCACAGGUUAAGGAGCUCGUAAACUGAGUGUGCUGAGGUAGCAGCAGACAACAGUCCAACAACCUCACAAAUCCUUAUAACAUCUCAGUGUUGGUGUGUGUUAUAAAGGAGAGAUAAAUGGCCCUAAGAGAAUGUACAGAAGAGAGACUUGACUCAUCCUUAAGGCCAGGAGAGGACUCCCUGAGAAACUGACGCUUGAGCCAAGGCUCUAAAGUAGAUAAGUAGACUUAACUAGUGAAAGCGAGUGAGAUGGGGUGGGGAGCCAGAGAGGGCCCCCUAACCUCUUCACUGUCUCUCCUAUAAGAUCAUCUAGGAAGGUCACCUAGAAACAUACACCUGUAGUCAGGUAUAUGUUAUGUCAACCCUCUCCAAGGCCUCAAGCUCAGACAGCACUCUUUCUAUGGACACCAACACCAGGCCUGAUGCCUGCCCCUUGAGAUAGGGCCUUGCCUGACCCAGGAGGAGGAUGCUUAGUGUGAAAUCUGUCAGAGGCCUGGCGGUCUGAUGGAAGAUGCUGAGAAGGAAACACAGUGGAGUAGACCCUCAGAACUCAAACACACCAUCAUUUACCAAAGGGAAGGGCUGGGACCUGGUGUCUGGAUUCCAGGCUCCCUCUCUACAGGAAGGUUGGCUAACAGGUCAAGCAACAGAUACAAGAUAGGAGGAUGACUAAUGGUACAGGGUAGUCCUGCCAAAGGGAUGAAGUCAUUCUAAGUGUCAAUUCUAGGGGACCUCCCUGGGUGGCCUGAAGGAAGUCCUGUCCUUAGUUGGGAGAAUGCUGCAGGUGUCUGUGAUUUGAUCAGUCUUUCUGCUGCAUGUAAUUCAAGGUCCUUGUUUUCCAGGAUAAUCAGCAUCAUCUCCAGGAGAUUCUGAGUGGGACUGUAGAAUCGCUGGUUGGUCUAUACAGUAGGUCCUUUCUUGAUGACAAAUAAGGAGCAAAUGCUCUGGACUGAGACACACUUGGCCCCAUCGAGACCCCUACCCUCUCUGGCCACCCACCCCAUCCCACUCUCUUUAACUAGUUAACUCCCCUCAUUCACUUAAGGGCCACAACUGAAACAUCAAUUUCCCAGGCAAUCUUCCCUUGAUCUUACGGGUGAAAGCAAAUUAAGAUGUAUUAGUUACAGGUCUGAAAACUGAAAAGUAAAGGGAUGAAACUGCUUCUAGAACCAGUCUUGAAGCCACUGACCUCCUAAUAAUAAACAUAUUUACUCUCCCCUCACCACAACCUGGGCAAUACCAUCAAAUCUUUUUUUUUUCUCACUACUGUGUUUUAUUUUUCUUUAAAUAUUAAAUGAAGAGAGAUGAAACAGGGGGACUGGGCUAGUGCAGCAGGAAGAGAGUAAAGAAGAGGGAGGAAGGUAAAGCAAAAGACAGUGAAGAGACAAGGAAUAAGGAAUGGGCAGAAACAAAAAAGGGAAGAAAGUGGAGAGAGAGAAGUCCCCUGAUAUUUUCACUAUUUGGAAGUAACCGAGAGAAAGUUAUUCAAAGCACCUUUGUAAAAAGGCCAUAAAACACCUUGGGGAAAACAUGAAAGUCAUGCUGCCACCAUACAGAUGAGCACCCUGGAAUUAGCUGCCAGAGCAAUGUCUGAAAAGAGGAAAUUCAAUGGCCCACAUUACUGCCUCCUCCCCCUGCCUCCUGGCUUCCAUCGCCUCCAAAUCGCCUGGCUCUGAAGACAGAGGCAGUAAUUUGGAGCCAGCAAGUGUGAAGGAAUGUUGGAGCUGUUAUUUGCCUUCAUGCAGCACAUCUUGAGUGCUUUGAGAAAGAUAAUUUAAAAUACUCUUCCAGCUUCACUAUAGAAAAUCUGAAAAAAAUCAGGAAGGUCUAAGGAAGAAAAUAAAUAUGACCCAUAUCCCAUAUCCAGAAAGCCAGUGUUAACGUUUUAUGGUAUAUUGUUUUGUGACUUGGUUUUCACAGGUUUAUCAAGGUAGCAUUUGGCUUAAGUUCUGUUGAGGAGAAGGAGAGUUCCUCCCUCCCUGUGAGAUAUUUGCUUGCAGGACUGAGAGAAGUCAUCUCUAGAAGCCCUGUGGACCAUCACCAGCCAGCUCACACCCUGGAACACAGAUGCUAAAACCACAAAAACUUGAGAUGCUCUCUGCCCAGAGCAUGGGCCUGCAGUCAAGGGCAACACAGGCCAGUCUUUAGUGGGAAUGUGGGACCCUGGCCUGGUAGACU